UCUACUUGCAAUAUUUGUUAAUUUUUAGCUUCCCGGAAAUGAACGUCAGCCGCGACGUCGAUCGCGAUUCAUCGUGGUUUCUCAGUAAGUUUCAACCGGAAUGUUUCAAGUAUUUUUCGAACGCCGAAACGCAACUGCGAAACAAUGCGACGAAAAAAACCGAGGGAAAUUUUACUUCUACAAAAUGGGAGUCUAAAUGGUUUUUUUUUUCUUCUUCUUUUUCUUUAAAUAUCGUAAUACGAAAUGACGGAGACUUAAUUACAUGCUUUUCAGAGUUGCUCAAACAUUAGGUACCGUGAAAAUGUUCCUUAAACGUUUGUUUUCGAGAAUGCAGUCGAGAAUUGUACGUCAUAUAUACUGGAAGGAACUGAUUAUAGAAUAAUCAUUAACCGUUGAGCACUCAUUAACGCUAUUAAGUAUAUAAACUAGAUCGCCACAGAUGUACUUUUAUCAGAACAACCCUCGUCAAAAAUAGGCUGUGGAUAUACCACGAAAAGAUUCGUUCCGAAAUACCGUGUAUUAUGUAUAGCAAAAUGAAGAAUAACAUAAAUCGCGCGUAUAUUUUGUUACAUUAAAUAUUCGAAUUGCGCAUAGUUUUUCAAUGACCAAAAGUUCCUCCUAUGAAAAUACGAUUUCGCGGUACGAUUUUCAAAUGCUUUCGAUAGUUUGUAUCUUUCUGCAUUUUUCAAAUCUGCUAGUGAACACACGUAUUACGAAUGCCAAUAAAGAUUUGUGAAAUAUU